AUAAAGGUAAUUGCUUGAUGCAGGAGCUUAUAAUUUAAAAUACAGAAGAUACAAUGUCAGGUUGACGUAUGAGAAUACAACUGAUAAAACUUAGCGUGAAUUUACUGGUUUUAAAAAUAGCGAUGCUGGUUGGAAUAAAUUAUUUUGAUUCGCUGUUAGUUUUAAAAAGUGGAGUUUGAAAGCGGCAUCCAGAAGGUAAAGGAAUAUAUUCAUUGUGAAGAAAGUGCUCGGAGUCGGAAGCAAUCUUGUAAGCUAGUUUUUUCCAACAUGCCACGUGCCUAAAAGAGUCAGAUUUUCCAAAGAGACUCCUGAUAAUUAAUUUGCUGCCUUGAUUGAUGAUUGUGGACAGUUUGUUUGUAUUUUGUACUGAAAGGGACCCCAAAUCUUUGUUUUUUAAUAUAAAACAAAAGUGAAAGAAUUGACAUUAAAAGAGUUGACCGUCGUAAAAAGUAGUCUUUGUUGGAUUUUUUUGUAGAUUUUGUCGGUGUUCGCAGUAAAACUGAGCUUUUCAUCAGUGAUGGUGCCGAGAUAUUGUAUUCUGGGACAACUUCGAUGCUGCAACUAUUAAUCAGAACAGGUCUAUACUUGCAGACUCUUGUCCACUCCAGACUCUCAAGCCGUGGAUCUCCUGGUGUUGGCGUCCAGUGUGCUCUCCUGGGAGCACUGGACUGGAUGUUGCUCCCCCGUUUGCUGUCUGUAAUAAAAAACACAUAACUUU